ACUAGCCCGGGUGGCUCGGCGUCACUUGUAACCCGAAACCGUCGGUACGCGGGGGGCGAAGUUUGACCGAGGCUGCAUUCGGCCUGCGGGAGCUUGCGCGUUCUGACGUUGAAACCUCGUCCCAUGAGGUCGAUGGCCAGGUAUCAAAAUUCCGGAGGGAAUGGCGACCUGUUGCUGCGGGGACCGGUUCAGGCCCGGAAGGGAGCAGACUUACCGUAGACAUUCGGCGCCCAUGGGGUAACGGGGCCAUUCGGCGCCCAUGGGGUAACGGGGCGGAGGAUGAAUGUUUAAGCAAACGCAGAAACGU
rnacentral:SRP_RNA from 1 species